UAACACAUGCAAGUCGAACGGACAAUUAUUUAUAGCCUCUGGCUAUAGGAAAUUGUUAGUGGCAGACGGGUGAGUAAUGCGUAGGAAUCUACCUAGUAGUACGGAAUAGCCAUUAGAAAUGGUGGGUAAUACUGUAUAAUCCCCGAGGGGGAAAGAUUUAUCGCUAUUAGAUGAGCCUACGUUAGAUUAGCUAGUUGGUGAGGUAAUGGCUUACCAAGGCUAUGAUCUAUAGCUGGUCUGAGAGGACGAUCAGCCACACUGGAACUGAGAUACGGUCCAGACUCCUACGGGAGGCAGCAGUGGGGAAUAUUGGACAAUGGGCGAAAGCCUGAUCCAGCUAUGCCGCGUGAGUGAAGAAGGCCUUCGGGUUGUAAAACUCUUUCAAUAGGGAAGAUAAUGACGGUACCUAUAA
rnacentral:rRNA from 1 species